UCACAAUGAAGAAGACCCCAAACAUUCCGCUAUUUUGAAGAAGUCCAGGCAAAAAAUUUACAGACUCGCAUCACGUUGCCAAGUGGUAAAGGUAAGCCACAGUACACAGACCAUGCCUCUUAGCUGCCCUGUGGUGCGGCGAAAAUCAUCACAAGAAACAUUCCCCUCAACACACAGUGAAGAGCCCCAACAAUGCCCCAGCCCUGAAAGGACCCCUGACAUAAAGACCAGACUCUGUGCUUUGAAGCUUCCAGCUUCUUACUGCAAGAUAAUGAGUCCUCUACAGCCCAAAACUGUGGUCUAUGUGCUUUCUUCCCCAGAUGGGGGUCAAGGAAUCUCCAAGCCUACCCCUAUUAAGAAAGCAGGGAGGAAACGGAAGUCAUGUGAUAGCGAUGUUGGCCUGAAGUACAAAUACAAAAAGACGCCUCUUAAGUUCUAUGACCCUUUGACCAAUAGAAUCUUAAAGAGUCCACCAAAAGGCAUGUCUUCACCCUCUAAUUCCAAGUCUCUUUCACACGUCCGACAGCUAUUCCGUAGCCUUAGCCCGGAUAUUAAUAAGGAGAGGCAGGGCCUGGGGCAGGGGCAGUCAUCAGGAGGUUCUCGAAAGGCUCGUGGUAGGAGCAGCAUGGUUGAUCUAUGUACCUCCACCUCAGACUCCAUUCUGGAUAGCGGUGGCCCCUCAGAACCUGGUUCUUCUUUAUCUAGCAGCCGAAGAGCCUUAUUCACCCGCUCCUCUAUCUCAAGUAGCAGUUGUUUCCUCCUCGGACACCUCACGCCAUCUACCCAUGUGGAUGAUUCUUCCAAAGCACUUUCUCACUCUUGUGCGGGCAGUUCCUAUAAGGUUGGAGGUCUGGAACAAGAUGAACACCGCCAACAAACAGCAGUUGACCAAACACCAAUCAGACGUAGCUCACGGAGGGCUGGACCUUUGACUACAGCCAAGAGACCACCAGUACCCCCUUACAGGACCAAAAGGAAGUCACCCAAACCACAGCGCAAAGCAA
ensembl:lncRNA